AUCUACUAUGAAAUCCAAAAAUAGUUCUAGUUCUGAGCCUAGUGCGCAUGACGUUUGCGCGAUUGCUGUGACUUAGUUGAAGACCAACUUUUGCCCGGAUAGCACACAAUUCUUCCCGGAUUAGGGAGUCUUUUAAUUUUUCUCCGUGCUGAAUGUCUUUUUUUAAAACACCAACUAGGCAUUCUAGCUUGCUUACUAAUCACCUUCAAGGAUAAGUUGAUUACCGUAAGUAGACUUUUUUAACUGAUGCGUUUGUCCGAUCAAAGCCGUGCUCCCGAUCCCUCUGCAAAAAAUAACUUUUGUCUAGUAGCCUACGUGUUUUUAUAUACAAAACAACGUCGUCACAAGUCAGAAUACAGAUGAUUUAAAUCUGUCAUGCUGGACAGAAACGUAUAACGAUAAUCUAGGAUACAUGCACACCUAUCCUGAAUCCUUAAACUACUCUUGACGUUUGGAUUCGCCCUGAAAGUUGUCUGUGCGCACAGCAGCGAAGGACAAACGUCAGCUAGUAUUUUACUCAUUUUUUUUCCAUCAAUACAAAAAAUGAAAAAGGUGGCAGGGUGAUGGAAGUUUCUAGACAAUCUAAUUAUUUAGGAAACGACGUUAUUCUCUAUUUUGGCACAUUAAUUUUCCUCGAAUACGUUGUCCUAGCUGUGCAAGGGAAACCACCCACUCCAAGAUUUAACGAUACUCUAACUUCUAUAAGUGUGGGCCUAUUUCAGGAAUGUUUCAGAAUCGCAAUGCGGGGAUUCGAAAUGUGCCUAUAUUGUCACUUGCACCAACAUUAUCGUUUGAUUGAUUUAUCGGAACAAUCAACAGGGCUUGGACUGUUUACUGUUGUGCUUAUUAAUUUUGCCAUGGCUACUACUGGAUUCACAGGGUUAAUCACGGUAAUAUGCAGAAAUCGUUAUAGUUGUGUGUUGAAAUUUUUUACCAUAUUUCACAUGGUCGUUCCCACGAUAGCACGAUAUGUCCUGACAAUUACAGAAAUUAAUAUUUUAUGGGCGCAUCAUCAAGUGCAUCAUAGCUCAGAUGACUUCAAUAUGUCAGUUGGAGUAAUCUUUAAUAAUUGGCUUUGUUGGGUUGGUUUUGUUGAAUUUUACAUUUCUUUAUUUUAUUUAUUAUUAUUAUUAUUAUUUUUUAAGUUUCCAAGUUUCCAACCUUUUGAUUUCUGUCACGUCUACAGAUUAUUCAUAUUCGUGAUUCUCAUCAAAUUUGGGGUCGAUUUUAGGUAUCACAAAAUUUUGGAUUUUGUUGUAAAGUAUAGCCAAUCGACCCCAAAUUUUAUGGAGAUUACGAAUUUUGGUUUAAUUUGACUGAAUUUGACGUCAGCUCAAUGGUGGAGGCGCUAUCGCGUACUUUCGGAUUACUUCCGGAAAAUUUGCAUGAAACUAGCAAGUGAGCUUUGUUCUAUUUAUAGUUCUAAGGAUGAGUGCUAAGUUUUAACAAACAAAAAAGCACUUUUCAAGUUUUGUGAGUAUCUAUCUUAAGAGUUAAGACCAGUCCUUCAAAUACUGAGUUUUGAGACGUGUCAAAUAGAUGGCGUGUUGAUUGUGUCAGUCAUGGGCUAAUGACGGUUUGCUAUCAAAAUUAUUAUUACGCUAGUUUUUUUCGAAAAUAACCAAAUUACCAAUGAAUUCACAGGUAAAUUCGAGUGAUUUGGUUUGUAACUUGUCGGUGAUGUGUUCUUUUCCGUGUAUAUGUUGGAUAACAUUAACGUUUCUCAUCAACUUACAGGAGGAAACGUAAAAGAGUCGUGCCGCCUAUACUGUCAACUAUUUUGUUCAAAAUCAUUGUAUUUUACUGAAUGUGCCAUCAAAAUGAUACAGGAUUCAACAUAAUUAUCUGCUGUGUGUAUUGGACUUGCUAGAUCACCAACCCCAGCAUGGAACAAUCUCUCAUUCCAUCAUCUAGAGAACCUUAUCAUCUGGAUAACUGAUCAGUGGUUUCAUGUAUUCUAAACUGCUGGUUUCUAAAUUUGCAUGGCAGACUUUAUGAAAAGUCCUGUCAUUUCAAGAAAGUCAACAAGGUCUGUUGUUUGCUGACCCGUUGGCUACUACCCUUGAAUCCUCCUUAUUGACUUCUUUACACAGGCCCUCCUGAUUUGAGAGUAAUCCUUCGCUACUGAUCAUGGACUUCGUCCAUUGGUGAAAACCGACGCGA